rnacentral:piRNA from 2 species
UAUUUGUAGAAUGCAUGAAUGA